AUUGCACUCCAGCCUGGGUGACAAGAGUGAAGCUCUGUCUCAAAAAAAGAAAAGAAGAGAGGAGAAGAGAGAAGAGGAGAGGAGAGGAGAAAAAAGAGAAGAGAAGAAGAGAAGAGAAGCAAAGCGAAGCUGUGGCCUGUAAUGAAAGGAAGUGGAGAAGUGGCUGGCAGAGGAAGCAGAUUAAGAAGCUGCCGGAGAGUAUCCUGAAUACCUGAAGAAGAUGAUUGAGGAAAAUGGCAAUUUGCUUGAGCAGGUUGUCAGUGCUGCUGAAACUCUGGAAGCAAAUGCCUACUUGCACAUCUAUUGCAAAGCAUGAGAAAAGGACCAGAGGCUUCAAGCCUGGAAAAGACAAACUCGAAGUUCUGCUUUGUUCCAGUGUGUUCUGAUUAAGCAGAUUCCAAAAUUGUUGCCUUUUUAAAAGAGAAGGCCAGAAACACUUUUCUGUCUACAUGAAGGGAAACCAUAAAAUAUGGAUCACUGAGAAACUCUUUUUGAACUGGUCUUUGAAGUGUUUUGUUCUGAGCUUAAAUAAUAUUUAAAAGAGUAAAAAAUCUUGACUUCACAGUGUUGCUGAUUCUGGACACUGCUCCUACAGACAAAAAUGCAGUCAUAAAUGCUGCUCCUUGUGUUCAAGUCAUCUCCAUUACCCCCAGUACGACUCCACUCCUUCAACUCAUGUAUCUGAGAGUGCUAAAGUUUCUGAUGUACUACGCUCGGCCUGUAUUUCGACUACCCGCAGAUCUUAUCGGAGACACCAGAACUUUACUGUGAAAGUGGCUUGGCAAAAUUUCUCCAUUUGUAAUGCUUUAACAGGUGUAGAAGAAUCAGUGAGACAAAUAAAACAAUCAACACUUAAUGAAGUCUGGCAGAAAUUUUGGAAUGAGGUUGUGACUGAUUCAGAAGGUUUCCUUCCAGUAGUAGAAGAAAUUGAAAAUGUUGUAACAUCUGCAAACCAUUUGAAUAGUGAAGGCCUCGAAGACAUUGAGUUAAGUGACAUUACUGAAUUGUUAGACUCUCACCGUCAAAAGAUAGUUUAGAAAUAUUUUGGAGAUGUUAUCACAUCAAAAGGCAAUAAAAGAAGCCAGCAUACGUUAAUAUCCAGAACUCUAAGAAUGUUCAAGUAUCUACUCCACAAAUGAAAUUGUCACAGUGAUUCAAAAGAAAGAGGUCCUUUGGUGGACUACAUACUGACUUUCAGGGGAGAAGAGGUUGACAUUAGGACAUGUCAUUCAAACCCGUUCUGCAGACAGAAAAACAGGAAGUAGAUAUGCCGCACACAGAUGGUUAAACCUUGGGAUUCAGACUCUGAUGGCUCUGAUGAUGUGGUGAUUUGUGUGCUGGGGAUAAAAGAGGAGCAGAAGACUGAGCUUACAUCUCUUCAGAUGAAAUGCAAUUUUCUCUAUUCUUUCCCUGUUACUACUGCUAUGACCAAGCAUUUUCAUUGAUGUGUUAUCAUCUUCAUCUUGAGAUCACAAAGGAAGUUAAUUGCCUGAUAUCCACUAUUGCUAAUAUAAAAUAUCAUUGAUAUUUAUUUUAUUGUUUUAUUUUGGUGAACAAACUAAUUGGGCUUUUGUAAUACUCAUAUCCCUGCCUCAUUUCUUCCUGAAAGGUCUUAAAUUCCUACAACAUGGAUACUCUGAGAGUUUCAGGAACUCAACUAUGGCAUUUAAGGAGUGUGCUGCUACUGUACUUGGCUGGAUGAUUUGAUUUUGUACUCUUGAUCUGAAAUUUGUUUUAAUUCUGAUUAAGUCUAACUUGUGAUCUCACCAGAAAGGAUUAGUUUGGUAUAUGUUAAAUUAAUUUGUUUUGCAGCAGUUGUAUAUGUUAGCUAUUGGCUGAUCCUGAAAAGCAGUAUAUUUAUGUCAAAUUUCCAGAUUUCCUUUGGUAGCUAAUCAAGGAGGAACAGUUGCUAGAGUUCAUUUUCAUAGAUUCUUUCUGUUCUCAUAUCUGGCCUCCCCAGUGAUUCGAAGAGUUGAAUAUCCUCCAAAAAAAAACAAACAAACAAACAAAAAAAACCAGAUAUUAUUACUUCCUGUUCUCUGAUGGUGAUGGAGACAUCAUUCUCAGAUUGUUUUUAAAUUCCCUCCAUAAUUCCUUAUAUUUAUUUUAUUUGAUUCAAUUGUGUUACAAAAGUUAUUGUUAUGGUUGCUUUAAUUUUGGAUGUUUGGAAUUUUCCAGGCAGA